GGAGCCCUUUCGCCAGCUUUUCAUUUUAUUUCUAAAACAAUGGCGGACAGCACAAGCGGUAGACCACGAAGCUACAGACCGUAAAUAGACGUUUCCUGGAGGUGCUGGUGCUGGUCCUCUGCUGCCCUCCCGACAUCUGGCUCCAAUGACCUCUGGCACCUCACAUCCACCUCCAGGGCCUUGAAGAAGAUGGACCGCCAUCGCGUCUUCAGUAUCCAGAAGGACCUCUCCACAACACACCUCGCCUUUGACAGGCAGCGGUUGUAGCUUGGAGGUGGACAGGCUGCCUGAAGGGGGUCAUGAGGCAGAUGGUUGGGACAGGCAGGGGGAGCCACCAUCCCCAAGGAUACAGUAUCCUGGUGGAGGGGAUGACUGCUCAUAGAAGAUGGGGCUGUUAUUCAGGACCCUGGCAUCAUGCACUGAGCCCGGGGCCUGUCGAAGGCCCUGGCCACCACCCGAUAGGAGGUGGCGCUGGCAAGCCAAAAAAUAAAAACUAGACAGGAGAUCUCGGGGCCCCAACCGUGGUCAGUCAGUGCCCAGCACAGCCA